AUGAAACUGAUGGAGCCGUUUUUGGAUGAUGGGAGAAACGUCACAACGGACAAUUUCUUUACUUCACUGUCACUGUCGCACAGACUGCUGCAGCGCAAAACAACGUUACUGGGCACGGUGAAUAAAGUCCGGCGUGAACUUCCUCAACUUGCAAAAGAUACUGCAAAGCGAGAGUUCCAUGCACCAAGACGUGACGAUCGGUGACGGCAGAAAGAGGAAACCCAACACGAUAACAGACUAUAACCACAUGAAGUGUGGUGUAGACGUGUUGGACCAAAUGGCAUGGAUGUAUUCCGUAAGAGCAGCAACACGCAGGUGGCCAGUAGCGGUUUUCUACAAUAUGCUGGACCUGGCGGCGGUGAAUGCCUACAUUUUGUACAAGGCAUGUACAGGGUGGACAGGCAAAAGAAGAUUGUUUCUGAGUC